rnacentral:piRNA from 1 species
UUCNGAUGCUUCUGCUGUUCCAAAGGAUGG